rnacentral:rRNA from 1 species
UACGUAGGGUGCAAGCGUUAAUCGGAAUUACUGGGCGUAAAGCGUGCGCAGGCGGUUAUGUAAGACAGAUGUGAAAUGCCCGGGCUUAACCUGGGAACUGCAUUUGUGACUGCAUGGCUAGAGUUUGGCAGAGGGGGGGUAGAAUUCCACGUGUAGCAGUGAAAUGCGUAGAUAUUGGGAAGAACACCGGUGGCGAAGGCGGCCAACUGGACCACAACUGACGCUGAGGCGCGAAAGCGUGGGGAGCAAACAGG